UUGGGUAGGGGAGCGUUGUAUAUAGGUUGAAGUCAGACCGUAAGGACUGGUGGACAGUAUACAAGUGAGAAUGCCGGUAUGAGUAACGAAAAGACAAGUGAGAAUCUUGUCCGCCGAAAGCCUAAGGGUUCCUGAGGAAGGCUCGUCCACUCAGGGUAAGUCGGGACCUAACGCGAGGCCGAAAGGCGUAGUGGAAGGACAACAGGUUGAAAUUCCUGUACCACCGAAGAUUGUUUGAGCAAUGGGGUGACACAGAAGGGCAGUGACGCGGACUGAUGGAAUAGUCCGUCCAAGCAGUGAGGCUAGUUGGUAGGCAAAUCCGCCAACUGUUAGGCUGGGCUGUGAUGGGGAGCGAAAAUUGCAGUAGCGAAGGUCAUGUACUCCGGCUGUCGAGAAAAGCCUCUAGUUAGAUCUAGGUGCCCGUACCGCAAACCGACACAGGUAGGCGAGCAGAGCAUGCUAAGGCGCGCGGAAGAACUCUCGUUAAGGAACUCGGCAAAAUGACCCCGUAACUUCGGGAGAAGGGGUGCCUCGGUAGGGUGAAUAGCCCGAGGGGGCCGCAGUGAAAAGGCCCAAGCGACUGUUUAGCAAAAACACAGGUCUGUGCGAAGCCGUAAGGCGAAGUAUACGGGCUGACGCCUGCCCGGUGCUGGAAGGUUAAGGGGAGCGGUUAGGGGUAACCCGAAGCUGUGAACCGAAGCCCCAGUAAACGGCGGCCGUAACUAUAACGGUCCUAAGGUAGCGAAAUUCCUUGUCAGGUAAAUUCUGACCCGCACGAAUGGCGUAACGACUUGGGCGCUGUCUCAACGAGAGAUCCGGUGAAAUUUUAAUACCUGUGAAGAUGCAGGUUACCCGCGACAAGACGGAAAGACCCCAUGGAGCUUUACUGCAGCUUGAUAUUGGACUUUGGUACGAUCUGUACAGGAUAGGUGGGAGCCUUUGAGGCCGGAGCGCCAGCUUCGGUGGAGGCACCGUUGGGAUACCACCCUGAUCGUAUCGGAGUUCUAACCUGGCACCGUGAAACCGGUGCAGGGACCGUGUCAGGCGGGCAGUUUGACUGGGGCGGUCGCCUCCUAAAAUGUAACGGAGGCGCCCAAAGGUUCCCUCAGAAUGGUUGGAAAUCAUUCGAAGAGUGCAAAGGCAUAAGGGAGCUUGACUGCGAGACCUACAAGUCGAGCAGGGACGAAAGUCGGGCUUAGUGAUCCGGUGGUACCGCAUGGAAGGGCCAUCGCUCAACGGAUAAAAGCUACCCUGGGGAUAACAGGCUUAUCUCCCCCAAGAGUCCACAUCGACGGGGAGGUUUGGCACCUCGAUGUCGGCUCAUCGCAUCCUGGGGCUGAAGUAGGUCCCAAGGGUUGGGCUGUUCGCCCAUUAAAGCGGUACGCGAGCUGGGUUCAGAACGUCGUGAGACAGUUCGGUCCCUAUCUGUCGCGGGCGCAGGAAAUUUGAGAGGAGCUGUCCUUAGUACGAGAGGACCGGGAUGGACGUACCGCUGGUGUACCAGUUGUUCCGCCAGGAGCACCGCUGGGUAGCCAAGUACGGACGGGAUAAGCGCUGAAAGCAUCUAAGCGUGAAGCCCCCCUCAAGAUGAGAUUUCCCAAUUAGUAAGACCCCUUGAAGACGACGAGGUUGAUAGGUUCGGGGUGGAAGCACAGCAAUGUGUG
rnacentral:rRNA from 1 species